AUCCACUUGAAAAGCUUGCCAAAGAAAGUCACUCCAGCUGCUCGCUUCUGGCACCUGUGGGGAGGAGGGGGGAGGGAAAACAAGCCGAGUUGAAACUGCGGACUUCGAAAUAGAGGAUGGAGAAAUACUGGCUGAUGGGUGUUUCUAUGACUGAGGAAGAUACACAAUGCCAGGAGUGAACAAGAGAUCGUCAUUGUCAAAGGAAAGGAAAAGGACUUCAUGAACAGCUACUGAGCCAUUAAUUAACUGAUUAAUUUCUGUACAGCAUUCAUAAGCCUGUUAUUUAAGGUAUUUUUACCAGCCUGCCUGCUUUUGUCCAUUUUGUCAUCGAAAAACCUACAUGUUUGGGGUAAUGUUCAUAAAAAAUAUGACAGACAAUACAGCCAACAAUGCAUUGUUAUAAAACAAGGAAUAUGGCAUAGACCUAAUUUUAAUAUAUGUAUAUAUGUUCUCUUUUUUUGUAGUAGUGUGAUGUUUUGGAGGAGACUUUGCAGAAAUGGGAUUUUUACACUCAGCCCUGCGAUGAACUGGCGAAAUGUCCAGGGUGUUCUCCACCUUCGCCCGUAAACCAGCAUAUGAGAUGGACCAGGCUCAUCCAGACUUGGGCUCCAGCCUGUCUUUUGGGUAACUCUGAAAGGGCAGCCACAUCGUCACACCAACAUGUCCACAGACAACGCAGAUGUCAUCUGACAGUGUCCAGGAGAUGUGAAGAUGAAGCCAGAGCUGCAGAGGAAGACCAGCGUGGGGGUUUUCACUAAAGGCAGAUGACAGCUUGAUGCAAAAGAUGUGGAAGAGACACAUGUUAUAUCACACCUUAGAAUCCAUGCAGAAAGGGUAAUAUGCAAGUUGUGUAGCAAGUACUGUUGGAGGACACCAGUCAGUUUGUUGCUUCCAUGUGAGGGUGAGGUUACCCUUCUAAAAUAGUUGAUGUUUGUUGUAUAUUACUGAACAUGUGCCCAAGUGUUGUUGUAAGGCCAGAGGACACAUGCACUUGUUGAGUGAUUGAAUAAAAAAAAAAAAAAAAAAGUCCUGCAAACUGCAGUGUAAAGUUGCUUGUGCUUUUAUCAAAUUAGCAAUUUUGAAUCACUGAAAUUCAAGCACCAUAUUUCAAGUACCAGGGUGAUACGUUGAGUCAAGUAAAAACUUAAAAAUAAAGUAUACACACAAAGCUCUGUGUAUUAACCCAU